CCCGUUUCUUGGAGUGCACCUGUGUGCGCACCUGGCUCUCACGCUGAUUGCGGGGCAGGACCGAGGGGAUUUAAACCCAGGUCUGAAGUGGCUCAGAUCCUCUUUUGCCUCUCCUGUGCGUGGAUCCUUGCUGCUUUUUCGUGGGAGUUGUGCCUGUGGCGGCGUUUGGUGUGUCCAGCUGCGUUGGAUUUACUCCGCGUAAAUAGCACUCCGCUCUCCGUGGUGCACUGGUGGCGUGUGUGGACACCUGGUCAGCUGUAGCAAAUUACAGCUGCGGUUGGGAACCUCGCGCUGCUCUGUGGUGUCUCCGCUGUGCGUAAAGGCCGCCGUUUGCGUGGUCUUGUGGCAUUUGAUGUUCGGGUAAGUGGCAUGUCUCUCUCUUUGACCCAUUGGGCUGUACCCAGCCAGUCUAAUGCUCUCUCUUCUUUGUGUAGUGUGGUGGUUUCUUGUGCGUGGUAACACACACGUUUAUUCGGA